CAGUAGCCGCGGGAAUACGUAGGGUGCGAGCGUUAAUCGGAAUUACUGGGCGUAAAGCGUGCGCAGGCGGUUCGUUAAGACAGAUGUGAAAUCCCCGGGCUUAACCUGGGAACUGCAUUUGUGACUGGCGAGCUAGAGUAUGGCAGAGGGGGGUAGAAUUCCACGUGUAGCAGUGAAAUGCGUAGAGAUGUGGAGGGAUACCGAUGGCGAAGGCAGCCCCCUGGGCCAAUACUGACGCUCAUGCACGAAAGCGUGGGGAGCAAACAGGAUUAGAUACCCCAGUAGUCCCUGUCUCUUAUAC
rnacentral:rRNA from 1 species